GGUGGGGUCAUUUAGUGCAAACAUUCAAAUUUCUCAGAUGGUAAGGUUGUCGCAUAUCAAAUGAAAGAACAUAAAGCGUACAUUUCAAAUUUCAAAUUGACGUCUCCCAAAAAAUGGGUUGGAUGGGGUCAUUGAGUGCAAAAAAUAAAUUUUCUUUUAAGAUAGGGUUGUUGUAUAUCAAAUGAAAGGUCAUGAUGUGUACAUUUGAAAUAUCAAAUUCCCGACCUCCAAAAAUUAGUUGGAUAGGGUUAUUAAGUGCAAAAAUCAAACUUUCUAGAACAAGGCGUUGUCGCAUAUCAAAUGAAAGCUCAUCUACUCUAUGUUACAUAUAUCAUACUUCCGAUCUCAAAAAUGUAGCCGGAUGAGGU
rnacentral:lncRNA from 1 species